ACGUAAUCAUCCCCGAUAACUAUGGAUGAGUCAAGAAACGAGGCCACCUCGUUAAAUCUACUGGAUUAAAGAGUCUCGUUAAAACGGGUUUCCACAGCACGAGUGCGAAACCUUCCAAACCUUCUUCUGCAAGUUUUUAUUUUUAUGAAGACCCUCAAAGAAACUAAUGCUCACCUAAUAUUCGAAGAGAAUUUAAAAAAAAAGCUUUGCUGGCAAGUAAAGAACCAACCCAAGGAUCAGAAAGGGUUACUUUAAAAGGAUACAUGAGAAUGCCUGAGGAAACUUUACCCCCAAAUAAAUAGUUAAGUGGCAGCAGCUUACACCAACUGGCUAAUACUGACCUACUUGAAUCGUUAAACCUCCUUAGACUGGAUUCGAAUGGGAACCGGAAACUUAACUGCUUGGCAACUCUCGGCAACUUUCCUACAACUUCAGGUUCCAAUAGGAAAAGCAAGUUCUUGUGUGCGUCGUUGACGACACGAGACGCCCGUUAGGCAUUAGGCGACGCUUCACCCUCUCCUUGUGUAGAAAGACCUGGAUGGAGCUUAUCAAAGGGCUUUCAUGGACGUCGCUACUGUAAACGACUACACAGCAAGCGACCUAGCGCGUGUUGGUUAGCCGGGCUGGUUCGGCAGAGACAAUUUUCAAUGGGAAUUAAUUUGAACGUUCCUGCUCUAUGGGAGUAUUCAACUAUACAGAUGUUUUCUACUUCAUUUUCUUUUGUUAAAUGAUACUUCUUUUUUCAGAUCUCCACAAAAAGGGAUGUAGCCAUACAAAUAUAGAGGGAGCCUGUCUGUAUUUUAUCUGGAAAAAGCUACCGUUAGGAUUCUUUUACUUUAUACAAUAUAUAGUCAUCUAAUGAAUUGACGUUAAAACUUCCUAAAGACCCGUAAUGGAUAUUCGAAUCCGUCUCUUUAUGGGGUUCUCUAUGGUAUUAGGGUGGAUCUUCAUGUAGUAAAGGAAAGUUAGUUCUUGGAGAGCUACUUCAAUGUGAUGCAAUCCCAGAGUAAGUGGCCUGGCGCCCAAAAGCUUCGCUAAUAAUUAUCUUAUGUUUAUAGGUAUUGAGGUCUGGCUGGAAUUUUUUUGUCGAAGACGGAAGUUGAUAUUCUAAUAGAGUUUUCCUUCGUCUCCCUUAUAACAGCUGACGAGAAUUUCCGUCAUAUUUCUACGACCCACGAAAGAAAUACCUUUUACAUCCUGAAUCAACUCUAUAGCAUCAAUCUGUACGGAGGUCGCGUUAACAAGAUCGAUAAACAUAAAAUUCAACAUGGCCUUGAAAGACAAGACGUACCAACAGUCGAUCAAGAAUAAGCAGUCCAGUUCCACGCAUUCCCUGCGUCUUUGCUUUGAAAGUUUUCCACCGCGUUCCGUGCUUCCAAAUGUCCUGCUACUGGAAGACCACAGUGACAGGUAUGAGAAUAAAAGCCAGAGAAACAUACCGACAUGCAAAAGGCUAUUUCGCAAAUUGGGUCAACGAUAUAUUUCACGUUUGGCGGUAAAUAAACCUGGGGAGAAUGUACGAGCUACACACAUUGUACCCUGGUAAAUCGCUCGACGCCGGGUUUGGCUUUACCAAACGAAUUGUGUUUUUGGUUAUGUUAUGGCGAUUCACGCAUGUUGCUUAUUUAUGUUAUAUAUAUAAUGUGUAUAUGUAUAGCACAUAUAGCGUUACAGAUAUGCAUAUACCAUAUAUCCAACUACGUUCACGCCUACGAGCGAAAGGUAUACAAAUUGGUGACACUGACAAAUGGGGAUUGACAAAAAAAUUUCGUCGGCGUAGGUACUAAUGGACCAUAAAUACGGAACAGUGUGUAGUACAAUAAAAGGACUGAAAUUUAAAAAAAAAGUUCAUAGCCUGUAGCAAUCCAUUGAUUUGCGAUGGCUUCUAUGCAUGGAUAAAAGGAAAUGCACUCGUUUCAGGAUGCAAAAUCUGAUUAAACUGCUCGACAGUAUGAUGGAAGAAUUAACGUUGACUUUGGCUAGCAUGUAUGCCGACCACUUUGGUCUCUCUGGCAUUUAGUGGGGUACAUUCAAUUGGCGGGAAUUUUAAACUGUAAUACUUAAAUAAUUCAUUUUCAUCAGUGUGUAUAAUUGAUCACCCUUGUAAUCCUUUUUUUGUUAUCAGGUAUAUAUGAUAUUUACUGCGAGGAUGGAAAUUUUUUACUUAUCUUACUGUACCAUGGGGAUGAAAAAUUAUAGCGAUCUUUAGUUGAUGGUAUCUCCGGGGGAGCUCUUGAUCCGGUCCAGAAAAAAAAUACACAACCCCUCUAAGGCGAAGGACACAAUCGCAGCAAUGCAUACAAAGCACUAGAUUAUCCUCCCUUAAGUCUUUCAAAGCUGUGGUAUGGAUACCAUCCACCAAGUGCAUACAGAGGGGUCGCCCUUGACUAAGGGUUGGAUGAAUUCUGGAUUUCUUGGGACACCGUGGGAUAGACCUGUAGAAGAUAGGGCCGUUCAGAUACACGUGAAAUUUAAUGGCUUCAUUAAGAUAGCCAAGGGUAGUAUCCAGGCGAUCUCUAGUUUCUCAUUUAAUCGAUAUUAUAUUUAUACACAUAAAAUCUAUGUUCGUAUAUUUACAGGGGUCCGAAAUUUAGGUCUCAUAAAAUACUGAAGAUACCUCAACCCUAACUUAUCUGUUUUAGAGGUUAGAACGGUCUAGGUGAACGUGCAUUAAACCUAACGACCCGAUUCAGGUGGAUGAUCUGCUGAGGAGUUCCAAAGGCAAUUCGCAAUGUGUGACCGAGCACCCACCGUUUGCUGGACGCAGUAUAAUUUUUAUGCCAUUUCAUUAGGCCCGUAGGCGAGACGUUUACGACAUUGGCAAACAGUGUCAAGAAAAGCUUCAUUGUACUUUUUGUUACUUGCGCCACGAAAUACUAGGGGAAAUGGAUGGGCCGAAAAGGAAGUUAGAAGAGGUGUUAAAACGGAGCCUUGUCAAUGCCAGCAUAUGGAAGUUCGUGAUGGAAAAAAUUCAAACUGGAAACUGAAUACAUAUAGAAAGUGUAUAAGCGAUUAGAAUACGUUGGAGCAAUAUUCAGCAUCUUCCUGUUAUACGGUCGGUGCCUAAUAUAUCCUCAGCGACCAAGAGGAAAAAAUGUGCGGUCUUUCCUCAGCACGC